GCCGAGGUAGCUCAGCUGGCUAGAGCGCAGGAUUCAUACUCCUGAGGUCGAGGGUUCGAGUCCCCCUCUCGGUA
rnacentral:tRNA from 1 species